rnacentral:rRNA from 1 species
AUGAUGAUGAUGGGCGGUCGCGCGGGGGCCGGCGGCGUCGGGGCCGGCGGGGGCCGGUGCCCGUUCACGGCGACGCAGUGGCAGGAGCUGGAGCACCAGGCGCUCAUCUACAAGUACAUGGCCUCCGGCGUGCCCAUCCCCUCCGACCUCCUCCUCCCGCUCCGCCGCAGCUUCCUCCUCGACUCCGCCCUCGCCACCUCCCCCUCCCUCGCCUUCCCUCCCCAGGCCGCACUGGGCUGGGGAUGUUUCGGGAUGGGGUUCGGCCGGAAGGCGGAGGACCCGGAGCCGGGGCGGUGCCGGCGGACUGACGGCAAGAAGUGGCGCUGCUCCAAGGAGGCGUACCCGGACUCCAAGUACUGCGAGAAGCACAUGCACCGCGGCAAGAACCGUUCAAGAAAGCCUGUGGAAAUGUCCUUGGCCACGCCCCCGCCGCCGCCUUCCUCCUCGGCCUCCUCCUCCUCCUCCAACGUCCACUCCGCCGUCAACGCCGCCACCACCACCACCUCCCCCGCGCCGUCCUACCACCGCCACGCCGCCGCGACUCACGACACGACGCCCUACCACACGCUCUACGGCGGCCCCUACUCCUCCGCCGGCCGCCAGCAGCACGCCAGCGCCUACCACCACGCCGCGCAGGUCAGCCCGUUCCACCUGCACCUCGACACCACCCACCCGCACCCGCCGCCGUCCUACUACUCCACCAUGGACCACAGCAAGGACAGCUACGCCUACGGGCACAGCGUCAAGGAGGUGCACGGCGGCGGCGAGCACGCCUUCUUCUCCUCCGACGUCACCACUGACAGGGACCACCACCACCACCAACACCACGCCGGCGCCGGCGGCAACGGGCAGUGGCAGUUCAAGCAGCUCGGCGGCAUGGAGCCCAAGCAGCACAACCCCACGUCGCUCUUCCCCGGCUGCGGCGGGUACGGCAACAACGCGGCGUACGCCAUCGACCUGUCCAGCAAAGAAGAGGACGAGGAGAAGGAGAGGCGGCAGCAGCAGCAGCACUGCUUCCUGCUGGGCGCCGACCUGAGGCUCGACAAGCCGUCGUCGGGGCACGGCGACUCCGCCGACCAGAAGCCUCUCCGGCCCUUCUUCGACGAGUGGCCGCACGAGAAGACCGGGAGCAAGGGGUCGUGGAUGGGGCUCGAGGGGGAGACGCAGCUCUCCAUCUCCAUCGCCAACGAACUCCCCAUCACCACCACCUCCCGCUACCACCAUGGUGAAUGA